CGGAGGGUGCAAGCGUUGCUCGGAAUUAUUGGGCGUAAAGGGCAAGUAGGUGGUCUCAUUUGUCUGGGGUGAAAGCCUUGAGCUUAACUCAAGAAGUGCCCCGGAAACGGUGAGACUGGAGUCCUGGAGAGGGUCGUGGAAUUCCCGGUGUAGCGGUGAAAUGCGUAGAGAUCGGGAGGAACACCUGAGGCGAAGGCGGCGACCUGGACAGGUACUGACACUCAACUGCGAAAGCGUGGGGAGCAAACAGGAUUAGAUACCCUGGUAGUCCACGCUGUAAACGAUGGGUACUAGAUUUGGCGGGUCUUGACCCCUGCUGAGUCGGAGCUAACGCACUAAGUACCCCGCCUGGGAAGUACGGUCGCAAGACUA
rnacentral:rRNA from 1 species